rnacentral:rRNA from 1 species
AUGCGGUUUUUAUCUGAAGAAGAAGCUUAUUCCUUCUAUAACAAGUAUGCUUAUUCCAUGGGUUUUAGCAUCCGAAGAGGCAAUCAACAUAAAGUAAAAAAUUAUAGUACAAUACAACAACGAACAUUCACAUGUUCUCGUCAAGGAGUUCGUGCGGAAGAUAAAAGAGAGGAGAAAUUAAGUUAUAGUAGGCCUGAGACACGAUGUGGUUGUGAUGCACGUAUGAAGAUAAGUCUUAAUAAUGGGAUUUAUUAUGUAUACGAAUUUAAGGAAGCCCACAACCAUAGUCUUGCUACUGGAAAUAUGUCGCAAUACUUAAGAUCACACAGGAAAGUAACUGAAGCUCAACUAGCCAAUGCCGAGGUCGCAAAGUCAGUGGGCAUUUCAAAUAAAGCAACUAUUGAUCUAAUGACGAAAGAGGCAUGUGGACCUGAAAACCUUGGAUUUAUAAGCACAGACAUGAAAAAUCGUUUGUACUCAAAGAGAACACUAAAAGCAAAGGUGGGUGACACUGGUGGAGUGUUAGAAUAUAUGGAGAAGAAGGUUUCAGAAGAUGUCAAGUUUUUUUAUUCAAUUCAAGUUGAUGAGGAUGAUUUGAUAACUAAUAUAUUUUGGACGGACUCCAAAAUGGUCUCAGACUAUGCAUUAUUUGGUGAUGUCUUAUGUUUUGACACCAUAUACAGGAAACUAGACGAUGGGCGUCCGUUUGGUAUAAUUGUUGGUGUAAAUAAUCACAAGAAAACAAUUGUGUUUGGUGCUGCACUUCUCUAUGCUGAAACGGCAGAAAGUUUUGCUUGA